rnacentral:tRNA from 1 species
UGCAUCGGCCGGGAAUCGAACCCGGGGCGCCCGCGUGGCAGGCGAGAUUCUACCACUGAACCAAAAGC